UAGGGAAUCUUCCGCAAUGGGCGAAAGCCUGACGGAGCAACGCCGCGUGAGUGAUGAAGGGUUUCGGCUCGUAAAACUCUGUUAUUAGGGAAGAACAAAUGUGUAAGUAACUGUGCACAUCUUGACGGUACCUAAUCAGAAAGCCACGGCUAACUACGUGCCAGCAGCCGCGGUAAUACGUAGGUGGCAAGCGUUAUCCGGAAUUAUUGGGCGUAAAGCGCGCGUAGGCGGUUUCUUAAGUCUGAUGUGAAAGCCCACGGCUCAACCGUGGAGGGUCAUUGGAAACUGGGAAACUUGAGUGCAGAAGAGGAAAGUGUAAUUCCAUGUGUAGCGGUGAAAUGCGCAGAGAUAUGGCGGAACACCAGUGGCGAAGGCGACUUUCUGGUCUGUAACUGACGCUGAUGUGCGAAAGCGUGGGGAUCAAACAGG
rnacentral:rRNA from 1 species